ensembl:snRNA U6 U6 spliceosomal RNA
GUGCUUGCCUCAGCAGCAUAUAUACUAAAAUUGGAACAAUACAGAAAAGAUUAGCAUGACUGCUGCACAAGGAUGACAGGCAAAUUCAUGAAGCAUUCAGUAUCUUU